AGCGAACGCUGGCGGCAGGCUUAACACAUGCAAGUCGAACGGUCCUUCGGGAUAGUGGCGGACGGGUGAGUAACACGUGGGAACGUACCCUUAGGCUCGGAACAACACAGGGAAACUUGUGCUAAUACCGGAUAAGCCCUUCGGGGGAAAGAUUUAUCGCCUUUGGAGCGGCCCGCGUCUGAUUAGCUUGUUGGUGAGGUAAUGGCUCACCAAGGCUACGAUCAGUAGCUGGUCUGGGAGGAUGGCCAGCCACACUGGGACUGAGACACGGCCCAGACUCCUACGGGAGGCAGCAGUGGGGAAUCUUGCGCAAUGGGCGAAAGCCUGACGCAGCCAUGCCGCGAGGAUGAUGAAGGUCUUAGGAUUGUAAAAUCCUUUCACCGGGGACGAUAAUGACGGUACCCGGAGAAGAAGCCCCGGCUAACUUCGUGCCAGCAGCCGCAGUAA
rnacentral:rRNA from 1 species